AUGUUCUGGUGUCAUUAGGUCAAUUCAGAAGGCUGAUUGAGGACCUUAUGUUCUGGUGUCACUAGGUCAAUUCAGAAGGCUGAUUGAGGACCUUGUGUUCUGGUGUCACUAGGUCAAUUCAGAAGGCUGAUUGAGGACCUUAUGUUCUGGUGUCACUAGGUCAAUUCAGAAGGCUGAUUGAGGACCUUAUGUUCUGGUGUCACUAGGUCAAUUCAGAAGGUUGAUUGAGGACCUUAUGUUCUGGUGUCACUAGGUCAAUUCAGAAGGUUGAUUGAGGACCUUGUGUUCUGGUGUCACUAGGUCAAUUCAGAAGGUUGAUUGAGGACCUUGUGUUCUGGUGUCACUAGGUCAAUUCAGAAGGUUGAUUGAGGACCUUAUGUUCUGGUGUCACUAGGUCAAUUCAGAAGGUUGAUUGAGGACCUUAUGUUCUGGUGUCACUAGGUCAAUUCAGAAGGUUGAUUGAGGACCUUAUGUUCUGGUGUCACUAGGUCAAUUCAGAAGGUUGAUUGAGGACCUUAUGUUCUGGUGUCACUAGGUCAAUUCAGAAGGUUGAUUGAGGACCUUAUGUUCUGGUGUCACUAGGUUAAUUCAGAAGGUUGAUUGAGGACCUUGUGUUCUGGUGUCACUAGGUCAAUUCAGAAGGCUGAUUGAGGACCUUAUGAUCUGGUGUCACUAGGUCAACUCAGAAGGCUGAUUGAGGACCUUGUGUCACUAGGUCAAUUCAGAAGGCUGAUUGAGGACCUUAUGAUCUGGUGUCACUAGGUCAAUUCAGAAGGCUGAUUGAGGACCUUAUUACUGAUGAAUGUGAUGUUCUGGUGUCACUAGGUCAAUUCAGAAGGCUGAUUGAGGACCUUAUGUUCUGGUGUCACUAGGUCAAUUCAGAAGGUUGAUUGAGGACCUUAUGUUCUGGUGUCACUAGGUCAAUUCAGAAGGCUGAUUGAGGACCUU